UUAUGUUUGCAUUUUUGAGCACUUCCAACUUCAAUUGAUAUUUCUCCAUUGGCGGCUGCAAUUUGGCAUUAAGUUCAGGCAAAACAAAUUCUACCUUAUCUGGAGGUUUGGGCAAGCAUUGAUCUGCAUGCUCCUUUGGUUUGGGCCAUUGGACUACCAUUUGUUCCUCCUGGGCAUGGACUGUUUGCAUUGGAAGGAUGAAAGGAGUUUCAGUUUCCUCCUUCUGCAUAGGACCUAACUGAGGUGGAAGACUGAUUUGUGUUGGAAGCUGAAAGGACGCGUCUGAGAGAAUUUCAGGUACUCCUUCUUGCGCAAGAUUGAUAUGCAAUGGAAGAAUGAAAGGAGUUUCAUGCGAUGGAAGCUGAAGAGGUGCAACUAGAAGAGUUGCAGGACUGUCCUGCCGUCCAAGCUGAGGUGGUUCAGUUGGAGUUCCUUCUGACUGCGCAAGAUUGAUCUGAAGAGGUGUGAUUGGCUCUCCUUUGUUCUGUGCGUGUUCGCAGUCCACCUGUUGGAUGUAACAGUUAGUUUCUUUCAAUUCUGGCUCUUUUUGGCUCUCUUCCCUGCAAAGAUCAUUGUUUAGUAUAUCAUCUUGAUUUGUAUAAAAAAUAUCUUUGCUCAAAUAAUCAAUGAUAUCUAAAUCAACAACAGGUUCUGUUUGAUCAGUUUGUCUGGGCAAACGGUUUUCUAGUUGGGUCUCUUCAGCAACUUAUUCUUGUACUUGCCAACUUUCAUCAUCAUCCCAUACAUCUUGAAGCUCUUUCUCUCUUCCUAACAUGGUUGCAUUCAAUGAUUUGUUCAAUUGAUCCUGUUGCUGUUGGAUACUUUGCAAAGUCUUCAUAAUCUCAUCAAGAUUGGAACUUUGAGGUUCUGGUUGGGCUUGAUAUCCUUGAUAAUCCUGGUAGUUGUUAGCCUCUGUAUAACUAAAGUCUGGAUAGUCUC
rnacentral:lncRNA from 1 species